UACGUAGGGUGCAAGCGUUGUCCGGAAUUACUGGGCGUAAAGAGCUCGUAGGCGGUUUGUCGCGUCGUCUGUGAAAACUCGAGGCUCAACCUCGAGCGUGCAGGCGAUACGGGCAGACUUGAGUACUGCAGGGGAGACUGGAAUUCCUGGUGUAGCGGUGAAAUGCGCAGAUAUCAGGAGGAACACCAAUAGCGAAGGCAGCUCGCUGGGACGUUACUGACACUGAGGCGCGAAAGCGUGGGGAGCGAACAGG
rnacentral:rRNA from 1 species